GAACCCUUGGCGCAGCGGUAGCGCGUGAGAUUCCAGUCCUCAAGGUCAUCCGUUCAAAUCGGGUAGGGUUCA
rnacentral:tRNA from 2 species